GAGUUUGAACCUGGCUCAGGAUGAACGCUGGCGGCGUGCUUAACACAUGCAAGUCGAACGGAAAUGUCACGCUGAUGCGAUUUCGGUCAAAUCUUGUGGCAUUUUAGUGGCGGACGGGUGAGUAACGCGUGGGUAACCUGCCUCACACUGGGGGAUAACACUUAGAAAUAGGUGCUAAUACCGCAUAAGCGCACGGGACUGCAUGGUCUUGUGUGAAAAACUCCGGUGGUGUGAGAUGGACCCGCGUCUGAUUAGCUGGUUGGCGGGGUAACGGCCCACCAAGGCGACGAUCAGUAGCCGGCCUGAGAGGGUGGACGGCCACAUUGGGACUGAGACACGGCCCAAACUCCUACGGGAGGCAGCAGUGGGGGAUAUUGGACAAUGGGGGGAACCCUGAUCCAGCGACGCCGCGUGAGUGGAGAAGUAUUUCGGUAUGUAAAGCUCUGUCAGCAGGGAAGAAACCAUGACGGUACCUGACCAAGAAGCCCCGGCUAACUACGUGCCAGCAGCCGCGGUAAUACGUAGGGGGCAAGCGUUAUCCGGAAUUACUGGGUGUAAAGGGAGCGUAGACGGUUAAGUAAGUCUGGAGUGAAAGGCUGGGGCCCAACCCCGGGACUGCUCUGGAAACUAUUUAACUUGAGUGCAGGAGAGGUAAGCGGAAUUCCUAGUGUAGCGGUGAAAUGCGUAGAUAUUAGGAGGAACACCAGUGGCGAAGGCGGCUUACUGGACUGUAA
rnacentral:rRNA from 1 species